rnacentral:lncRNA from 1 species
UAUAUUUUUUAUAUUAUUUUCCCCCUCCUGCCGUAAGGUUUUCUGAGGACAGAAAUCCGUAAAACAAGAAAUAAAAUUGGUCUGGCCUAAACAUCAGUUGAAUAUUUAUUUUCUAAACGUGGUGUGACCUUGUAGGGGAUGAGUCAUGCAAUAAAUACAGUAAUAUUGUUAGGGACCAUACAUAAUUUAUGACUAGGGGUGAUGAUGAUUUUUAGGGAGUAGCAUGUACAAUGUGAAUGACACCCCCACCCCACCACCCACACACACACUAAAAGUUAUGUACAAAGUAAGUGGAACACACACCUCCUUCCCAAAUUUUUUAAGUAUAAUUGAUCAAUAAAAUUAUGUAUGAAAUUGCUGCUGCCUCCCCCCGUCCCCUGCCCCACCAGUAUGCAGUUUGUGUGUACGUAAUUGAUGACCUUCCCAGAACAAAAUGGGUGACCCCACCUCCUCCAUAAAUUAUGAACAAUCCGUUAUUUUGUUCCAUAUUCUGUACAGCUGUACAAGACAAGCAUAUCAGUGACCUAAAUCUCUUGGAUUUUUUAGAAGCUAGUUUCAGAUAAAACACACAGUCUGAAAUGGGCACUUUCGUGAUACCAGGAGUAAUGUCAAGUGGCCCAGAUACGAGUGCUGCUGUCGGAGGUCUGGGUUUGAUUCCCCAUAUGAAGAACAGUUGUGAAUGUUAGGUGCUACUAGAUAUUUCCAAAGGAGAUUACAUGUUAGAAAUCCAUGGAUAAAUAUGCAAUUCAUUGAUCACUCUGCAUAAUCUGAUUUCAAUUGAAAAUAGAUAAGUUUAUGCUUUCCAUGUUUAGGGGAUUUGUGAACUGAGAUUCUAAAAAAUCGAUACCCAAUUGGUAUGUUAAUGUGAUAUAGAUGGUUUUAUUAAGUUAAUUCCUUAAAUUAUGUAUACAUCAGUUGUUGAUAGUAAGUGAAUGUUAUUUAUGAUGAUUAGAUAAUCUUAAAACAUAAAAGUUAACUUUAUUUUAUAUUGUAUAUUUUGCUUUACUCAUGUGAAAAACUGCCAUUAUAUUGCUUGAACUUUGAUGCCUCAGCAUAAGGUAUAUAAGCAUGAAUUUUAUCCUUGCACACAGUUCUUCAUUUUCUGGAUUAAUCACACGGAGCGUGUUAAAGGUAUUAGUUAUCAACAUUUUAAUGUUUGUGUUGGUAUUUUUAGAAUAAUUACUGGCACUUGUUAAGAGUUUUGUAUCGAGAAAACAUAUAUAACUUUGUAUCAUCAGAAUCACAUUGUAAAUAUUAUUUCUGAAAUAUAUGAAAGUAUUUGCACUGUAUCAUCGCUAAGCAAGGACUACAUAGCCUUUGAUAUUAUAAACAUACAAUCACAACAUAAUGCUAUCUCCACACAUUUGUCACUUUCAUUCAUCAUUUUUAUUUUGCUCAAAAUGCUCAGACAUGCUUGGAGAUAUAUUAUACUACAAUGUAACUUGUCAAUAUUUUGAAGAAUUACAAGUAGAGCUUAUUAUGUAUGGGGCCUGCUUCACUAAAUAAUCUAGUACAAAGACUGUCUUUUUAUGGGUGAAUAAUUUGGAAAUAAGGUGCUCAGGGGCAACUUAUCAAAGCUUGCCACAGAUUAAAAAAAUGUAUACAUAUUCUUUUCACAUGAAGCUGCCAUCAUAUACUCAUAGAAAGGAAUAAGGGAACACUUGAAAGUACAAGUGUUCCUAUAUUUUUUCCAGGUUUCUUCACAAGGUAUGAAUCGCACUGUGAGUGAAAUUCUGGAAAUAAAUAGAGGAACACUUGUACUUUCAUUUGUUCCCUUAUUUGUUUCUAUGAGUAUAUAAACGGAAGUACUGUUCAAAGCAGAAUUAAACCCACAUUCACUGUAUUUUUGGUUCUUUGAAUAUUGUAUUCCUUCCACAUGAAAGCUGCAAUGAUAUGGUAGAAAAGAAGUACUGUUCAAAGCAGAAUUAAACCCGCACUCACCCACUUUGUAUUUUCAGUUCUUGGCAUAUGUUAAGACGCUUUGUUGCUGGAGGAUGAUUUUGUGGAACUGGCUAUCAAUACUAUAAGUUUGUUCACACCUUGGAUAAGAUACUCGAUUCAGUCUUGCCAGUAAGAUGAUCUAGGUUUUUCAGUUUCUGAUUGUUAUUUAGCUCUGUCCCACUUUGAUGAACACACAUCAUUGGUUAUGCCCACACAUUGUGUCAUGGGUCAUGCUCGUAUGUCAUGUUAUGUGUAUAUGUCAUGGGUCACGCCACAUGUCAAGGGUCAUGCCAACAGGUCAAGGUGAUGACCGCAUGUUGUAGGUCACCUACAUAGUGUGGGUCAUUCCUACAUGUCAAGGGUCACGUCCACAUGUCAAGGGUCAUGCCAACAGGUCAAGGUGAUGACUGCAUGUUAUAGGUCACCUGCAUAUUGUGGGUCAUUCCUACGUCAUGGGUCACAUCCACAUGUCAAGGGUCAUGCCAACAGGUCAAGGUGAUGACUGCAUGUUAUAGGUCACCUGCAUAGUGUGGGUGAUUCCUACAUGUCAAGGGUCACGCCAACAGGUCAAGGUGAUGACUGCAUGUUAUAGGUCACCUGCAUAUUGUGGGUCAUUCCUACAUGUCAAGGGUCACAUCAACAUGUUAAGGGUCAUGCCAACAGGUCAAGGUGAUGACCGCAUGUUAUAGGUCACCUGCAUAUUGUGGGUCAUUCCUACGUCAUGGGUCACAUCAACAUGUCAAGGGUCAUGCCAACAGGUCAAGGUGAUGACCGCAUGUUAUAGGUCACCUGCAUAUUGUGGGUCAUUCCUACGUCAUGGGUCACAUCAACAUGUCAAGGGUCAUGCCAACAGGUCAAGGUGAUGACCGCAUGUUAUAGGUCACCUGCAUAGUGUGGGUCAUUCCUACGUCAUGGGUCACAUCCACAUGUCAAGGGUCAUGCCAACAGGUCAAGAUGAUGACUGCAUGUUAUAGGUCACCUGCAUAGUGUGGGUGA